rnacentral:lncRNA from 1 species
CCGCAAACCAUUUGCCUAAACACCAGCUAGCUAACCAAGUCUAACCCGAUUCAACUCUCAGGGUCACUUGUCCUAAUGAGCUCGAAAUCCUUAGGGGUCAACAUCUAAUUAAUUUUAAAAUUAAGGCUUGGUUUAAUACAGAAUGAUGGUUAUAAUUUUUGGGCCAAGGAAGGAUGAUCAAAUCCCCACCUUAUCUGAUUAAUGGGUUGCACCCUUAAAGUUAAUUAUGGAGAUGCAAUGCAAAGAAACAAGGUGUCCAAUCAAGUUAGAAAUUUUUAUAUUUG